ACCGACCUAUACUUUUAAUAAAAGAAAAAUGGUGGCAGACAACUUUCUGGUUUUAGGCAGUAAAGAUCGGAGCCUUGUCUCUUUCAUGAUUAUGCAUGAUUGACGAGAGCUAGCAAACAGACUAUCAUCUCUCUCUCACUCACUCUGUUUCACUCCGAAAAACAGAGCAAUAGUUCUCCAGCCUUGUUCUUCCUCCAUCAACCACCUCCAGACGUCGGACCACUCCCUUUGGCUUCUCCUGAGGCUGCUCUACCUACUGGACGUCGUCUUUUCCUCCGGCACGACCUCAAGGUCCGGCAAACCAGCUCGAACCCGGUUGCACCCGAAACCGAACUAACUCAUCCUCCUCGUGUUUCCGGCCACCAAUCCUCACCAAACUUCAUCCUUGAGCUCACCUCAACCUCCAGAAGCUCUCAAAAGUGUCCCUUCACGGUGGCGCUGUGCGUGGUGGCGGUUGGAAGCCAGACCCGAUCAAAAAUCGAAACCGAGCUUUCGACCCGGAUACCUCAAGCUAUAGACCACCAAUUCUUGUGAUUCUUGACCUGAAAGGAUAGCCUUGAGUUUCUGAACAAAUAUCCAGAAGGAAUCGAAGCGAUUUGUGGAAGUUUUUACGUAGAUCGGAGCACCUGCCGGAUUCUGGAAUUUUUCCGGCCACCGAAACUUUCGAUCAAGAUAUCUCGAGCUAUAGAGCUUAGUUUUGAGUGAUUCUUGAACCAGUGAGUUCGUCUUUAAGUUCUGAACAAGUCUCCUGAAGGAAUCGAAGCGAAAGGAGGACAUUUUUACGUUGAUCGGAGCUUCGCCGGUUUCUGCAAAUUCUCACCGGUUUCUGGAAAAAAAUUCCGGCCACCUCGACUGUUUUAGGUGAUUGACGGUCUUCCUUGGGUGAGCGGUUUCGGUGUGUAUUGUGUUGAAUUGAAGACGCAGCGGGAAUAUCGAGCGGGUAAUCCUGCAGGUCAGGAGAAUCAGGGCGGUGAUCGAGCGGGUUAGAGUAUUUGUUAUAGUUUUACAGCAUUUGUAAUAGUGAGGUGAGUUAAGCUCAUUGAGCCUUACAAUUUGAUUUGGUGAGAGUGUGUUGUAAUAAAUAACUUGAGGAUUUGAUUUAUUGUAAUAUUGAGAGGUGUGAAGUGUGGUUGUUUGUGAGAAAAAAAUUCAGGACGUUAAUUGUAAUUGUUAUUAUUCAUGUUUCGGAUUUGAAUUGAUUAUUCAAAAUUCGGGGCGUGACAGUUUGGUAUCAGAGCGU